rnacentral:rRNA from 1 species
GUAGCAUAAUCAAUUGUAGGUUAAUAACAGACUGGAAUGAACGGUUUAACAAAUACAGAUGCUUUUUAACUAAUAUAAUAUAAUUUACUAUUUAUGUAAAAAUACAUAAAUAAAUAAAAGGGACGAUAAGACCCUAAAAGCUUUAAUAUUAUAGUAUUUUACUUUUUGUUAAAAUAAUACUAUUAAUAUUUUAACUGGGGUAGUUGUUUUUUUUAUAAAUAUUUUUUCCUACGAUUAGGUUAUAAGGCCCUCUAUAUAGGGAUAAAUAGUACUAGUUACUUUAGGGAUAACAGCAUAAUAAUAAUAGAAAGACCUUAUUUAUACUAUUGAUUUUGACCUCGAUGUUGAAUUAAAUUUCUUUAUAAAGCAAUAAUUAUUUUUGAAAGUUUGUUCAACUUUUAAAAUUUU